rfam:Clostridium carboxidivorans P7 ctg00191, whole genome shotgun sequence.
AUUUUUCUGAAAUAUUUGUAAGCUUUAAUUUUGAACCUACAGCAUUUGAACGGGAGCUUAAUAUUUAAAUGUGUAUUUGAGCUAUAAGUCCAACAUGUGUUGGCAUAUUCAAAGAAACAUUUGUGAAAGCACCCACCUAUCGUAGAGAUAGGUGUCAAAAUUAAAGUAACGGUAUUUUGGAGUUAUA